rnacentral:rRNA from 1 species
CGCGCGUGGGGCGGAAACGACAACAUUGAAUCUUCGGAGGAUUUGUUGGGCGUCGAGCGGCGGACGGGUGAGUAAUGCCUAGGAAAUUGCCUUGAUGUGGGGGAUAACCAUUGGAAACGAUGGCUAAUACCGCAUAAUGCCUACGGGCCAAAGAGGGGGAUCUUCGGACCUCUCGCGUCAAGAUAUGCCUAGGUGGGAUUAGCUAGUUGGUGAGGUAAUGGCUCACCAAGGCGACGAUCCCUAGCUGGUCUGAGAGGAUGAUCAGCCACACUGGAACUGAGACACGGUCCAGACUCCUACGGGAGGCAGCAGUGGGGAAUAUUGCACAAUGGGCGAAAGCCUGAUGCAGCCAUGCC